CAAACAACGUCGAUUAUGACUCUUUCUAUUAUAAAGUUUUGAUCCAUGGAGGUUUUAUGUUUGUAACACUUUCCUCAAGCCGAGAAAAUCGAUUUAAAUAUCCGUGACGUCAUCAGAAUGUAAAGUCUAUGAGCCGCGCGGGAGCUCGCGGCCGGGGCCAGCGGGAGAAACACUACCGCGCGCAUUUAGUGGGCCGCAUAACGCGAAAGCAAACCCGGAAGCUAGAAACUUUUUGGCGUAUGCGCCAGGCGAGCAAUUCCUAUAGGACUGAAUGGGCGCCAUUUUUAGUCCGGUAUCCAGCUCUUAUAAUACAUCCAUGGUUGAGGUGGGUGGGAUCACACAGGUGUAUGUAAAGAGAGAGAGAGAGAGAGGAAGUAGAGUGUAAGUGAAAUUGUGUAACAUGACAGACUGAGUAGCGAUGUAUGCGCAGUGUUUACAAACAAAUGUGUAGCUGGUGUCUGAGAUUAUCUACCCGACACUCUAGGCCAGGCUACAUGCUACAUGCUACAUUUUUUCUGCGAGCAGCUGGAGAUACUUCUACUCGAAGUUUGAUGUACAGUUGUUCACGUUUGUUUGUUUAUUAGCUCAUUAGCCGAACGUGUGUUUAUUAGCAUUCAUUAGCACAGUGAAUGGACUUAUAGCCACUGUGUAGCUAACCCAGUUUAUGCUCAAGGCUUUAGUUAAUCUUUUUCGACGUGGAAACCCUGAGGAUUUAUCGGACAGCGCCAUGAGCCACUAAGUCAACGCUCAGAGAGACUUUUCACUACAUGGUCCGGACCCGCCAUCUUUGGACUUCAGUGUGUAUCCUGUUCCUUCCCGGAGACCGUGAGGCUGGUUUAAACUGCUGAUUGGAGUCAAGCUUCAUGACUAAGAUAGAUGCACUUGGACUCAACAAGGACAUCAUCCCUGAGGCAGCCAUGAGAUAGAGCCCCGCAUGGAGUCCAGACACUGGUGGUGGUGUUGGUAGAUGACUUGAGAUGAGGCUGAUAGCUGAUGAAGUGAUGGUACCAGCGAUCCUGUGGAGCCUGGGUGGAGAUGGGGACAUGGAGGGGCACACAUAACAGCAGCAUGCCAGACCAAAGCAGAGAGAAAGAGACAUAUUUAAAAAGACAGCAACCAGAUGAUAGACUAACAAUGAAAAUGUGUCGCCGUGCUAUUGGGUAGAAGUGUUCAGCUGGUGAAAGCUGAAAGUCAAACUACGCACCUGUGCAUCGACAGCUAGGAAAUGAUUGAGCAUGCGUGAGAAAUGAGAAUGACAAGGAGGUACAAGCAAUAAAAUUACGCCUGGCAUGCAAAAGAUAGUCCUCCUUACUGAACUUUUGCUAAGCUUCAAUAAAUAAAGGUUUUGUAAUGGGUAA